GUUAACUGCUCUGCAAGAGUGCCGGAAAACGCCCUUUUUGAAGUGAUUGCCGGUGUCGCAUCAAGGUUUACAAUUAACGUAAAUGCGGGGGUAACGCUAAGAGCAGCGAACGGACCUUACGUCAUCAACGUCGACUGCUCAGAUGGCGACAAUGACGUCACUGCGACGUUCACACAACCAGUGAUUGAUACGCCGCCGAGUUUUGUAUCCGGGAUCCCCGGAAGUUCCCCUAACGUCUCCGACUCCACUGUCACACAG